UACGUAGGUGGCAAGCGUUGUCCGGAUUUACUGGGCGUAAAGGGCGCGCAGGCGGUCGUUCAAGUCGCGUGUGAAAGCCCCCGGCUCAACUGGGGAGGGUCAUUCGAUACUGAUCGACUGGAAGGCAGGAGAGGGAAGCGGAAUUCCCGGUGUAGUGGUGAAAUGCAUAGAUAUCGGGAGGAACACCAGUGGCGAAGGCGGCUUCCUGGCCUGUUCUUGACGCUGAGGCGCGAAAGCUAGGGGAGCAAACGGG
rnacentral:rRNA from 1 species